rnacentral:rRNA from 1 species
UUCCGGUUGAUCCUGCCGGACCCGACUGCUAUCAGAGUGAGAUUAAGCCGUGCGAGUUAACGUAGCAAUACGUGGCGCACGGCUCAGUAACACGUAGUCAACAUGCCCAGAGGACGUGGAUAACCUCGGGAAACUGAGUCUAAACCGCGAUAAGUGAGGAUUUCUGGAAUGGUUCCUGACUAAAAUCUAUAUGGCCUCUGGAUUGGACUGCGGCCGAUCAGGCUGUUGGUGAGGUAAUGGCCCACCAAACCUGUAACCGGUACGGGCUCUGAGAGGAGGAGCCCGGAGAUGGGCACUGAGACAAGGGCCCAGGCCCUAUGGGGCGCAGCAGGCGCGAAACCUCUGCAAUAGGCGAAAGCCUGACAGGGUUACUCUGAGUGACUUUCGCUAAGAAAGUCUUUUGGCACCUCUAAAAAGGGUGCAGAAUAAGGGGUGGGCAAGUCUGGUGUCAGCCGCCGCGGUAAUACCAGCACCCCGAGUGGUCGGGACGAUUAUUGGGCCUAAAGCAUCCGUAGCCGGUUCUGCAAGUCCCCCGUUAAAUCCAGCUGCUCAACAGAUGGGCCGCGGAGGAUACUACAGAGCUAGGAGGCAGGAGAGGCAAGCGGUACUCAGUGGGUAGGGGUAAAAUCCGUUGAUCCAUUGAAGACCACCAGUGGCGAAGGCGGCUUGCCAGAAUGCGCUCGACGGUGAGGGAUGAAAGCUGGGGGAGCAAACCGGAUUAGAUACCCGGGUAGUCCCAG